CAAGCAAGCCAAGGACCAUAUGUUUUUUGUGUUACACUUUCAGCAUCUAAGCUUAUUAUAUUCAACACAAGGAGAAAGUCCCCGGAAAAAAAUAUCUUCUGUCCAAUGAUUAAAGAUUAGGGCAGUGGGGUAUUUAGUAAAGCAACUUUGUUUGUUUGUUUUUUUCAUAAUAAAAAGUAAUAUGGUCACCCUAUAAUAAUGGGGCAACUUAAUGGGGCUUACUCUGGCUUGUUU
rnacentral:RNase_MRP_RNA from 2 species